rnacentral:lncRNA from 1 species
UUCAUAUUGCUUCCUCUCUCCCUCAACCAAACUGAAUCUAUACAAAUUCAGAAACUCCUCCCUCAACCACCAGAACAUCUCACCAACCAUCUCAGAAAUUUAACCUUGCCACCACAACCUUACCUAUUUCAGACGCAGAAAUGCUGAACGAAACCACUUCACCCUAUUCAUCUUCUUCUCUAGAAUCACCCCCCUACUACAA